CCUUCCUCUUCAAUUGUCUCUCGACCUUUAUUGCCACAUGUAACAUGUCCUCGAUUUCCACAUAAUGUUGCAACUCUACAAUGUUUGCAAUAUCCCGAUUUAACCCAUUCAAGAACCGUGCCAUGGUAGCUUCCCGAUCUACCUCCACAUUAGCCCGAAUCAUAAGAAUUUCCAUCUCCUUGUGAUAAUCCUCUACGCUUUUCGAUCCUUGAUACAAACCUUGCAAUUUUUUAUGGAUUUCCCUAUAAUAGUGACUCAGAACAAACCUCAUCCUCAUCAACAUCUUCA
rnacentral:lncRNA from 1 species